CCUACGGGAGGCAGCAGUGGGGAAUAUUGGACAAUGGGCGAAAGCCUGAUCCGGCCAUGCCGCGUGUGUGAAGAAGGCCUUCGGGUUGUAAAGCACUUUCAGUGGGGAAGAAAGCCUUGGGGCUAAUACCCUCGAGGAAGGACAUCACCCACAGAAGAAGCACCGGCUAACUCCGUGCCAGCAGCCGCGGUAAUACGGAGGGUGCGAGCGUUAAUCGGAAUUACUGGGCGUAAAGCGCGCGUAGGCGGUCUGAUAAGCCGGUUGUGAAAGCCCCGGGCUCAACCUGGGAACGGCAUCCGGAACUGUCAGGCUAGAGUGCAGGAGAGGAAGGUAGAAUUCCCGGUGUAGCGGUGAAAUGCGUAGAGAUCGGGAGGAAUACCAGUGGCGAAGGCGGCCUUCUGGACUGACACUGACGCUGAGGUGCGAAAGCGUGGGUAGCAAACAGGAUUAGAUACCCCUGUAGUC
rnacentral:rRNA from 1 species